CCUCUGCCCAGUCUUCAACCCCUGCCUUUGGAGUCCGUGGAGGAAAAGACCAGAAACAGGAGCCCAGAGACCAUUCCAGACUCACCAGGUAAAAAGGUAAGGAUGAAGACACUGGUCCAAGGUGACUCCCAAUGCCUGAAUCACAUGGCUGCUUCCUGCUGCCACAAUCCACUGACUUAUAGGGGAAGUAAACAGGAGCCCCUGAGAUCAUCUUAAUUCAGAAAUCUUCAAAUGUUUCUACUAAAUGAGAUUAAAAAAAAGAGGCU
rnacentral:antisense_RNA from 1 species